UCCCACAUCCCGGAAGCAGCGUGGUAUCUGCUCUGCUUCCGGGAGGGAAGCGUAAAAGCAUUUCCCAGCGAUAAAAACAAAAAGGUUAGGCUUUGGUUAGGUUUUGGUCAGGUUUGUGUUAGGUUAGUGUGUCUUAGCAUAAUAA